rnacentral:tRNA from 1 species
GGGUUUAUGAUCUAAAUGGCAAUGAUCCCGGGCUUUUACCCCGGUUAUCAGAGUUCGAAUCUCUGUGGACCCACCA